UGUGGAUAAAGUUGUUUUCAUUUUUUUCUUUUACAAAUAAUAAUGUGAUGAAGAUCUUUGUAGGUUAUCAAGACUUCAUAUAAUUUUUUGAAAGAUCCUAGAAAAAGAUGGAUCAAGUUCAAAAGUAUUUUUAAAGUUAUUUACAUAUUUUGUCAAAUUAUUCUCCAGAGAAGUUGUACUACUUUUCCCUCCCUUGUACACAAGACUGUGCAAGAGCCAUCAACGCUUCUCGACCUAAAUAUUAACAUUAAAGAUAUUUUGGACCAAUUUAAUGGUGAAUGUUAUCUUAUUUUAAUAGUACCAAAGGAUAAGUACAAGAUUCUGCAUUGUGGGGAGAUUGCGAGACAAAUGAACUUUUAAAAGAUAUUUGGGAACAGACGAAAUGGCCUGCUCUGCUGAGAAACUGAAAGGGCUUGAGACCCAGAGUGAAGCGAAAGGAAAAUAAAAUAGCACUUUGGGAUGGAAAGGGGACGCCAGCACACCCCAGGUCUGUACCCCUGGCCUCGCAGUCUUCGGGGUCCCUGACAGGCAGUAGGGCUCAAAAGGAAGCCAAGUGCAGCUGCAGGGGGCUUCUCUCCGAGGGUCGCCCCGCAGUCUCUGGGUUAUGAUCCCCACGCGAGUACCUGGGAGUUCCCAGCCAUUCGGCCCCUACAGAAGGACCAGGCAGAGGAAUUUCUGAUUCAUGUGUUUUUCCGUGGGAUGCCAGAAAGGGAGUUUUGAGAGCUCCUACACCAGCUUAGCUUGGGAGCCCCUACGCAACAACCAUCCAGGUCCCGGAAGAUGCCAGCUCUGCCUGGCGCCCGCAGCCCAGAUCUCCUGCCCGGAGUACGGGGGCGCGGGCGCAGCCACCAAAGCUGAAAUGUGACCGCGUCCCGGUCCCUUCCUGCUCUGGGGCGCGAAGCUGCCAAGAAACCGGCUGCGGUCUCCAGGAGGGGCCAGGAGGCAAAAUGGAAGGAAGCGCUGGAUCUCCGCGGCGGAAGUCAUUCUUAUGCCCUGCCAAAGGGUAGAGGGCAGCAACCGACUUGUGCGAAAGGAGGGAACGUGUGGGUCUGCCAGGGUCCUGCAGGGGGGAUGAGACCCUCGCUCCGCUCCGGCGAUCCCUUCGCUCUCCACCCUCGGCCAGCCCCUCCUGUCCUCCAUCAGGCCUCGCUGAGGAUACCUCCUGGGUUCCAAAGCGCGAGUUGAACCUGAGCUUGACAUUCAUUCCGUCUCGUACAAAAGCCAUGCCUGCGGGGAGAGGGAGAAAAUUUCCUACAGGAGCCUCAAGACUGCGUUUCAGGAAGCCCUAGGACCCACUGAUCCUGCAGCUGCGCCUCUCACUCGCCUCAGGUCCUGAGCUGGAACGAUGGAAUCUAGCAGAAGUUGCCUUUCCAGAUUCAAACGGCUUCUAUGUGAGUUCCUGAAUCAUAACUUCUUCCUGUCCAUGUGCCCAGUUCCCAGGCUAGGCUAAGGGUGGAUUCACACAAAAGAAAUUAGUAGAAGAAAGAAUUUUGCUAAAUUUCUUUUCAGAAAGACUUUACUCAUUUAUCAGCAAUAAAUAGUAUCUGUUAUGAGUUAAAUUGUGUCUCCAAAAAGAUAUGCUGGGGUAAUAGCCACUGGGAACUUUGAAUGUAAUCUUAUUUGGAAAUAGGGUCUUUGCUAAUAUUAUCAAAUUAAGAUGAAGUCAUAUCAAAUUAAGUAUGACUGUCCUUAUAAGAGGAGAAGAGACACAGACACAGAGGAAAGACUGCCAUAUGAAGAUGGGGCAAGGAUUGGAGUUACAUUGCUACAAGCCAAGGAAUGCCUGGCACUACCAGAAGCUGGAGGAGACAAGGGAGGAUUAAUGUCCUUUAGGAGCUUCAAAGGAAAUAUGUCCCUCUCAACAACUUGACUUCUAAUGUUGUGAUGGUUAAUACUGAGUGUCAACUUGAUUGGGUUGAAGGAUACAAAGUAUUGAUCCUGGGUGUGUCUGUGCCAAAGGAGAUUAACAUUUGAGUCAGUGGGAUGGAAAGGCAGACGCACCCUUAAUCUGGGUGGGCAAAAUCUAAGCUGCUAGCAUGACUAGAAUAUAAGCAGGCAGAAAAAUGUGAAAAAGAGAGACUGGCCUAGACUCCCAGCCUACGUCUUUAUCCUGUGCUAGAUGCAUCCUGUCCUUGAACAUCAGACUCUUAAGUCCUUCAAUUUUGGAACUCACACUGGCUCUCCUUGCUCCUCAGCCUGCAGACAGCCUAUUGUGGGACCUUGUGAUCAUGUGAGUUAAUACUUAAUGAACUUAAUAAUAAAUUAAUAUUUAUAUAUUAAUACAUAAUGGAAUAUAUAUUCCAUUAGUUCUAUCCCUCUACAGAAUCCUAUUAGAAUGUCAAACUCUUAAAAACAUUGUUUUUUUUUUUUUUUUUUAGAGACGGUCUUGUUCUGUCACCCAGGUUUGAAUGCAGUGGCAUGAUCAUAACUAAAUGCAACCUCAAACUCCCCAGCUCAAGAGAUCCUUCCACUUCAGCCUCCCGAGUAGCUAGGACUACAGUCAUGCGCCACCACAGCCAGCUAAAUUUAUUUUUUUGUAAAGACAGUCUUUCAAUGUUGCCCAGACUGGUCUCAAACUCUUUGUCCCAAGUGACUCUCCUGCCUCGACCUCCCAAAGUGUUGGGAUUACAGGCGUGAGCCACCAUGUUAAAUGAGAAAAUAAAUUUACGCAGUUUUAAGCCAUCCAGCUUGUGAUACGUUGUUAUGGGAGCCCUAGGAAAUUAAUACACCAUUAUUUUCAAAGUGCUGCUAAUUUAUAAGACAACAUUGGUUUUUAAUUGUUCUGAUUUUCAAAAAUAUCUGCUGACUUAAAAUAUGAAGAUUGUAUUCAAGUGUUCUGAUUUUCAUUGAAGUUAAAAAUUUGUCUUAAAUACUAGACAUUUACUUCUAUCAAUUUUCUCACAAUGUUUUUAUACCUUUUUCUCAGUUAUUGUAACAUUAGUGUUCUUUUUAAUCAAUAUAUUAUGAAUGUCACUUUUUAUCCAUCACAUUAAUUACAAAUGUUUUUCUCUAGUUUUUGGUUUCCUAUAACUUACUUCCUAAAUAUAUAAAAUAAACAGAAAUAAUUUUAUGUGUGUAGAAUAUUUUUACUUAAGAAGAAUAGAUUGUCAAAUUA
rnacentral:lncRNA from 1 species